rnacentral:lncRNA from 1 species
CUUGGUGAGAACGGCUGGAGCCAGGAGUCAGAGACAGAGCAACUGCGAUCAGCUCUUGAAAUGGAUUCACGUCAGGGCCCUGCUGCAAGGAAAAUACUUUUCUCUUUUUUCUACAAGAAUACUUUUUCUGUAGAGAUUUCUCUUUUCAUAUUUACUCAGUAUCUCCCUGGCUUGUUCUGGCCUUCGUAUUGUUUUUAAAAAUGAAAACAAUGGGCUUGAUAUAAUUCAAUCGAUUAGACUUCAUUUAUACCAAGUUUAAAAAGCAUGCAAGAAAUGACAUCAGUCAUUGUCAAGCAAUGUUUCCACAAUGGCAAAAUGGCAGAAAGUAUUUCACCAGCAAAAUGCAAUUGCAUUUACAGUAGAAUUUGGGACCUAGAGUAAAAUUCCUUCAACUCAUGUUUCUCUUCAUGUGAGCAGCAAACAAUUAUGAUAAUAAUAAAGGCUAACAAUUACCCCAAGGACUGAUCUAAACACUUUUGCAAUUUAAGUCAUUUAAGGGUUACAACUACCCUUUGAGAUCUAUACAUUAUUAUUUCUCCCAUUUUACAGAUGAGGAAGCUAUCAAAGUGAAUGAAAGCCUCAUCUGAUCUCCCAAAAUUGUUUUAAACCUCAUAAAUAGUAAACAAAGCCCAAAUAUAUAAAAUACAUUUAUAUGUGUGUGUGAGUAAUAAAUAAAUCUGCUGCUUGCAGUGAUUUAUUGUAAGACUCAAAUGAGUAAAUGAUAUAAAAUGAUGAUUUAUAUAUUUCCUGCAUUUGGCCAGGUUCAGUAAUCUAUUUCCAACGAUUCAAAAAAA